UCCCUGCCUGGCGCGGCUAUGAAGGACAUCGAGGAGAAGGAAGACGGGCGUCACUGGCCAGUUGCGCCGGAAGGCAGCGUUAGGGAAGGUUCGUGCCACCUGUCCGUGAAAGUUACACACUCCGGGGACACCAGCUCUCCUGAGUUCAGUGCUGAGGCACAGAGAGGGUUAGACACUCAGCUGAGACCACAAAGGAGGAGGAGGAGGAGCUGGGUGUUGAACCCAGGACAUCUGUGACCACAGCCCACUCCUUUGAUGGCUACACCCUAUUGUCUUCGAUGUAAAGAUAAUUAAGCAAAAACGUUAAUUAUAAUUAAGCAAAGUGAA